UACGAAGGGGGCUAGCGUUGCUCGGAAUUACUGGGCGUAAAGGGCGCGUAGGCGGACAGUUUAGUCAGAGGUGAAAGCCCAGGGCUCAACCUUGGAAUUGCCUUUGAUACUGGCUGUCUUGAGUUCGGGAGAGGUGAGUGGAAUGCCGAGUGUAGAGGUGAAAUUCGUAGAUAUUCGGCGGAACACCAGUGGCGAAGGCGAGUCCCUGGACAACUCCUGACACUGAGGCACGAAAGCUAGGGGAGCAAACAGG
rnacentral:rRNA from 1 species